rnacentral:rRNA from 1 species
UGAACGCUAGCUACAGGCUUAACACAUGCAAGUCGAGGGGCAGCAUGGUCUUAGCUUGCUAAGGCCGAUGGCGACCGGCGCACGGGUGAGUAACACGUAUCCAACCUGCCGUCUACUCUUGGACAGCCUUCUGAAAGGAAGAUUAAUACAAGAUGGCAUCAUGAGUCCGCAUGUUCACAUGAUUAAAGGUAUUCCGGUAGACGAUGGGGAUGCGUUCCAUUAGAUAGUAGGCGGGGUAACGGCCCACCUAGUCUUCGAUGGAUAGGGGUUCUGAGAGGAAGGUCCCCCACAUUGGAACUGAGACACGGUCCAAACUCCUACGGGAGGCAGCAGUGAGGAAUAUUGGUCAAUGGGCGAGAGCCUGAACCAGCCAAGUAGCGUGAAGGAUGACUGCCCUAUGGGUUGUAAACUUCUUUUAUAAAGGAAUAAAGUCGGGUAUGGAUACCCGUUUGCAUGUACUUUAUGAAUAAGGAUCGGCUAACUCCGUGCCAGCAGCCGCGGUAAUACGGAGGAUCCGAGCGUUAUCCGGAUUUAUUGGGUUUAAAGGGAGCGUAGAUGGAUGUUUAAGUCAGUUGUGAAAGUUUGCGGCUCAACCGUAAAAUUGCAGUUGAUACUGGAUAUCUUGAGUGCAGUUGAGGCAGGCGGAAUUCGUGGUGUAGCGGUGAAAUGCUUAGAUAUCACGAAGAACUCCGAUUGCGAAGGCAGCCUGCUAAGCUGCAACUGACAUUGAGGCUCGAAAGUGUGGGUAUCAAACAGGAUUAGAUACCCUGGUAGUCCACACGGUAAACGAUGAAUACUCGCUGUUUGCGAUAUACAGCAAGCGGCCAAGCGAAAGCGUUAAGUAUUCCACCUGGGGAGUACGCCGGCAACGGUGAAACUCAAAGGAAUUGACGGGGGCCCGCACAAGCGGAGGAACAUGUGGUUUAAUUCGAUGAUACGCGAGGAACCUUACCCGGGCUUAAAUUGCAGAUGAAUUACGGUGAAAGCCGUAAGCCGCAAGGCAUCUGUGAAGGUGCUGCAUGGUUGUCGUCAGCUCGUGCCGUGAGGUGUCGGCUUAAGUGCCAUAACGAGCGCAACCCUUGUUGUCAGUUACUAACAGGUUCCGCUGAGGACUCUGACAAGACUGCCAUCGUAAGAUGUGAGGAAGGUGGGGAUGACGUCAAAUCAGCACGGCCCUUACGUCCGGGGCUACACACGUGUUACAAUGGGGGGUACAGAGGGCCGCUACCACGCGAGUGGAUGCCAAUCCCAAAAACCUCUCUCAGUUCGGACUGGAGUCUGCAACCCGACUCCACGAAGCUGGAUUCGCUAGUAAUCGCGCAUCAGCCACGGCGCGGUGAAUACGUUCCCGGGCCUUGUACACACCGCCCGUCAAGCCAUGGGAGCCGGGGGUACCUGAAGUGCGUAACCGCGAGGAGCGCCCUAGGGUAAAACUGG